GACAGAGGGUGCAAACGUUGUUCGGAAUUACUGGGCGUAAAGCGAGUGUAGGCGGUCUGUAAAGUCGGGUGUGAAAGCCCCGGGCUCAACCCGGGAAGUGCACUCGAAACUCACAGGCUAGAGUAUCGGAGAGGUUGGUGGAAUUCUCGGUGUAGAGGUGAAAUUCGUAGAUAUCGAGAGGAACACCGGUGGCGAAGGCGGCCAACUGGACGAAUACUGACGCUGAGACUCGAAAGCGUGGGGUGCAAACAGG
rnacentral:rRNA from 1 species